UGUCUAGAAUAUUUCACGAGGGCGGAUUUUGGCCUUCGUGAGAAAGGCUAAUUGAAGUCCUUUGAGUAAAUAUGGUGCAACGCAUGCAAGCAUCAAGUUUUGAUAAUUUUUACUCGCAAUUUUGGUACCGAAGAGAUACGGGUUGUGUAAUCAAGUUUUUGACUAGCUCAUGGGUUGGGUAAAAAAAAUUAUGGCUGUCUAUCAGCUAUAAAAUAAAAUAAAACUAAAAUUACCAUGCAUUGGAAAAUAUGAAGAAAAAUGUGUACAAUACAUUCUUUACCAAAAUAGACCAUCAGUGAUAGAGGAAGGACUCUAUCAUUGAUCAGCAGGAACGUGAUUGCUUUGGAACACUCAGUGAGUUUGAGUGAGCUUUUAGAAUUUAGGCAACUUGAUUUCUGUCAUCAUAAUUUUGUGUGUUUAAUUAUUAUGAAGUACAGUAACACAUGGGUUGGGUAAACAUUAUUUUGACCAAUGUUAAGGUUGGGUAAAUAAAAAAUUUACCGUGUUUUUCGCUUCUCUUCAGUACCAACCCCAGGUAUAAAUAAUGAACGGUCCCUUAC
rnacentral:lncRNA from 1 species